GGGCACUGCUAUUCUGGCUGGUGUUUCGUUUUUCGCGCUUGGCUGGAUCAUCAAGGGAUCCAAUCCUUUACCCUCUUCCAGGACUGAUGAUUCCUCUUCUUCGCCUUCUAAUGAUGCUAAAGAAAAAGCAACCCGAUAAUUGAUGCACAAGAAUAAUGGAGAUCAGCCUCUGUAUUGGCAGGCUCUUACAACCGAGGUUCUAACUGGUUUUUAUGUACGGUUCUUACAAGUUUUGUGACUUACUUUUUGUGUUCAAGUAUCAGCCAUUGUAUCGGCAGGUUCUUACAACCAAGGUUCUUACUGGUUAUGUACAGUUCUUAUAAGUUUUGUGACUUACUUUGUGUUCAACUAACAAUGGGAUUUCCGGAUUUGUAAGCUAAUCAUGUGGACGUCGCUGGGCUCUUUCAUAAUUUGGAUCUUUGCCUACAUUUUCUCUAA